rnacentral:sRNA from 1 species
CCUGACUACCCUGCCUCUGACCACUCGAACUGAGUGCUGCUUAGCUGUAUCGUAGACACCGCCUGUUUGUGAACAGACACCCUGCUUCUUGAUGAUAACACAAAGGCCAGCAGGGUCCACUGCUGUGUGGAAUGGCCUUCGGUCAUUUCUGCCCAGAGCACAGAGCUCAAGCUCUUGGACUCACCGAGGCGGUAAAAGUACCAUAUCCUGUGUUUGAAUCAAACCCGGAGUUCUUGUACGUGGAAGGCUUGCCAGAGGGGAUUCCCUUCCGAAGCCCUACCUGGUUUGGAAUUCCACGACUUGAAAGGAUCGUCCGCGGGAGUAAUAAAAUCAAGUUCGUUGUUAAAAAACCUGAACUAGUUAUUUCCUACUUGCCUCCUGGGAUGGCUAGUAAAAUAAACACUAAAGCUUUGCAGUCCCCCAAAAGACCACGAAGUCCUGGGAGUAAUUCAAAGGUUCCUGAAAUUGAGGUCACUGUGGAAGGCCCUAAUAACAACAAUCCUCAAACCUCAGCUGUUCGAACCCCGACCCAGACUAAUGGUUCUAACGUUCCCUUCAAGCCACGAGGGAGAGAGUUUUCCUUUGAGGCCUGGAAUGCCAAAAUCACGGACCUAAAACAGAAAGUUGAAAAUCUCUUCAAUGAGAAAUGUGGGGAAGCUCUUGGCCUUAAACAAGCUGUGAAGGUGCCGUUCGCGUUAUUUGAGUCUUUCCCGGAAGACUUUUAUGUGGAAGGCUUACCUGAGGGUGUGCCAUUCAGAAGACCAUCGACUUUUGGCAUUCCGAGGCUGGAGAAGAUACUCAGAAACAAAGCCAAAAUUAAGUUCAUCAUUAAAAAG